UACGUAGGGGGCAAGCGUUGUCCGGAUUUAUUGGGCGUAAAGAGCGUGUAGGCGGCUUGGUAGGUCCGCUGUGAAAACUCGAGGCUCAACCUCGAGACGCCGGUGGAAACCAUCAGGCUAGAGUCCGGAAGAGGAGAGUGGAAUUCCUGGUGUAGCGGUGAAAUGCGCAGAUAUCAGGAAGAACACCCGUGGCUAAGGCGACUCUCUAGUACGGUACUGACGCUGAGACGCGAAAGCGUGGGGAGCGAACAGG
rnacentral:rRNA from 1 species